rnacentral:rRNA from 1 species
AGAACGAACGCUGGCGGCAUGCCUAAUACAUGCAAGUCGAACGAACUCUUCGGAGUUAGUGGCGCACGGGUGCGUAACGCGUGGGAAUCUGCCCUUGGGUUCGGAAUAACAGUUGGAAACGACUGCUAAUACCGGAUGAUGACGAAAGUCCAAAGAUUUAUCGCCCAGGGAUGAGCCCGCGUAGGAUUAGCUAGUCGUGGUAGGAAGGUAACGUCUACCAACG